rnacentral:rRNA from 1 species
CAGUGGCGAACGGGUGAGUAACACGUGAGCAACCUGCCCUGGACUCUGGGAUAAGCGCUGGAAACGGCGUCUAAUACUGGAUAUGAGACGUGAUCGCAUGGUCAACGUUUGGAAAGAUUUUUCGGUCUGGGAUGGGCUCGCGGCCUAUCAGCUUGUUGGUGAGGUAAUGGCUCACCAAGGCGUCGACGGGUAGCCGGCCUGAGAGGGUGACCGGCCACACUGGGACUGAGACACGGCCCAGACUCCUACGGGAGGCAGCAGUGGGGAAUAUUGCACAAUGGGCGGAAGCCUGAUGCAGCAACGCCGCGUGAGGGAUGACGGCCUUCGGGUUGUAAACCUCUUUUAGCAGGGAAGAAGCGAAAGUGACGGUACCUGCAGAAAAAGCGCCGGCUAACUACGUGCCAGCAGCCGCGGUAAUACGUAGGGCGCAAGCGUUAUCCGGAAUUAUUGGGCGUAAAGAGCUCGUAGGCGGUUUGUCGCGUCUGCUGUGAAAUCCCGAGGCUCAACCUCGGGCCUGCAGUGGGUACGGGCAGACUAGAGUGCGGUAGGGGAGAUUGGAAUUCCUGGUGUAGCGGUGGAAUGCGCAGAUAUCAGGAGGAACACCGAUGGCGAAGGCAGAUCUCUGGGCCGUAACUGACGCUGAGGAGCGAAAGGGUGGGGAGCAAACAGGCUUAGAUACCCUGGUAGUCCACCCCGUAAA